rnacentral:misc_RNA from 1 species
UCUACACUUCUUUUGAUCAUCUCUAUGAAUUUCAAAACUCUCUUUUAGAAAAGAUUGCAAUGUGUUUUGUUUUACUAGAACAGAGUCUCUGCCACUGGAUAAAUUUUAACAAUUAUCUUGAGCUUUAAAAGUUAUAAUAAAAUUAUUUAUACACUUAAAAAAAUAAUAUAAAAUUUUUUAACUUUAAAAUUUUACAUAAUAAUAAAACGCUUUUAACUCUUAAUUAUUGG